rnacentral:rRNA from 1 species
GUCUUUUUGUAGUUAGUAUAAAGUCUCGCCUGCCCACUGAUUUAUUUGAAUGGCCGCGGUAUUUUGACCGUGCUAAGGUAGCAUAAUCAUUAGUUUUUUUAUUGAAAGCUGGAAUGAAGGGUUGGAUGAAAAAAAAACUGUCUUUAUUUAAUUUGCAAAGAAUUUUAUUUUUAAGUUAAAAAGCUUAAAUUAUUUUAAAAGACGAGAAGACCCUUUAGAGUUUUAUAAAAUUAUUUAUAUUUUUUUUUAGUAUUAAAUUUAUUUAUAUAAUAAAUUUAUUUAAUUGGGGUGAUUAAAAAAUGAAUUUAACUUUUUUUAUAUUAUUAUAUUAAUUAAUAAUUUUUUGAUCCAAUUUUUUUUGAUUAUAAGAUUAAAUUACCUUAGGGAUAACAGCGUAAUUUUAUUGGAGAGUUCAAAUUGAUAAUAAAGAUUGCGACCUCGAUGUUGGAUUAAAGUUUAUAAUUGGUGUAGAAGCUAUAUUAUUAAGUCUGUUCGACU